CUACGGGUUGCAGCAGUGGGGAAUAUUGGACAAUGGGCGCAAGCCUGAUCCAGCCAUGCCGCGUGAGUGACGAAGGCCUUAGGGUUGUAAAGCUCUUUUGGCGGGGAAGAUAAUGACGGUACCCGCAGAAUAAGCUCCGGCUAACUUCGUGCCAGCAGCCGCGGUAAUACGAAGGGAGCUAGCGUUGUUCGGAAUCACUGGGCGUAAAGCGCACGUAGGCGGAUGUGUCAGUCAGGGGUGAAAUCCCGGAGCUCAACUUCGGAACUGCCCUUGAUACAGCACGUCUUGAGUCCGAGAGAGGUGAGUGGAAUUCCUAGUGUAGAGGUGAGAUUCGUAGAUAUUAGGAAGAACACCAGUGGCGAAGGCGGCUCACUGGCUCGGUACUGACGCUGAGGUGCGAAAGCGUGGGGAGCAAACAGGAUUAGAUACCCUAGUAGUC
rnacentral:rRNA from 1 species